GACGAACGCUGGCGGCGUGCUUAACACAUGCAAGUCGAACGGAAAGGCCCUGCUUUUGUGGGGUGCUCGAGUGGCGAACGGGUGAGUAACACGUGAGUAACCUGCCCUUGACUUUGGGAUAACUUCAGGAAACUGGGGCUAAUAACGGAUAGGAGCUCCUGCUGCAUGGUGGGGGUUGGAAAGUUUCGGCGGUUGGGGAUGGACUCGCGGCUUAUCAGCUUGUUGGUGGGGUAGUGGCUUACCAAGGCUUUGACGGGUAGCCGGCCUGAGAGGGUGACCGGCCACCUUGCGACUGAGAUACGGCCCAGACUGCUACGGGAGGCAGCAGUGGGGAAUAUUGCACAAUGGGCGGAAGCCUGAUGCAGCAACGCCGCGUGCGGGAUGACGGCCUUCGGGUUGUAAACCGCUUUCGCCUGUGACGAAGCGUGAGUGACGGUAAUGGGUAAAGAAGCACCGGCUAACUACGUG
rnacentral:rRNA from 1 species